AAGCCCUGCCUGGGGUUGAAGCGUUAAAACUAAUCAGGCUAGUUCGUUAGUGGCGUGUCUGUCCGCAGCUGGCGUGCGAAUGUAAAGACAAACUAAGCAUGUAGUACCGAGGAUGUAGAAAUUUCGGACGCGGGUUCAACUCCCGCCAGCUCCACCA
rnacentral:tmRNA from 1 species